CAGACACAGAUGCAGCAGACACAGAUUUCCUCAUGUGCUCUGUUGACGACCGUAAAUACUGCUCUUCCUAAGGCACAGACAUGUGUGUGGAUGAGCAGCUUGUUGGCUUCAGAUGCAAGUGCAGUUUCCGACAGUACAUCCCAUCAAGCCUGACAAAUAUGGAAUAAAGAUCUGGUGGAACUGUGAUGCAGAGACCAGCUACCCUCUCAAAGAUUCUGGGAGAGUUAAACUGCAAACCGAAUUCUUUCUAGAACUGGACAAAAUCACUCAAAGCUUCCUUGAUAUUUUCGAGACUGAAACAGACAAAUCAGACAUCAAAAGAAGAUGAACAGCAGUUCUCCAUGGCCUUCCACUCCUCGGAGAGGACCCCACAGAUUUUACAAGACAUGUUUUGAAUGUGAUGGCGAUGAAGAGAUGUCCCACAUUUCCAUUGGCAUAUAGACAGUGAUCCCCGAGGACUCUCGCAACUUUCCUUACUCACUGCACCUUGACUCCACAUGUAUUGCAAUUAUUUUACAAACCAAGAAUAACUGCAUAUUUAUUUUUACUUUUUUAUUUUUAUUCAUUGUAAUAAUACUUUUAAAUCUGCACUUUUAUAAUGGGAGUCAAUCAGUCGACUUUUCAAAAAUGGAUCCCUGCAUUUCCCCAUUGGUCACAAUUGUGACCACUUACAUGUUUACUUGUCCUGUAAGCAUAAUUUAUAGGAGGCAGAGCAAUCUUAUUAAUAAAUCAAUAACAGGCCCUUUAAACAUCAUAUGUACAAAAUAUGGUAAUUGUAAGUGUAUCAUGACAGGUUUUAUUUUCUUCCUUUUAUGGAGUAUUGACACAGACAUUAUCUCUAGAGGAGAUUUAGAGGAGGUCUAUGAUUGCAUUUUUUCUUGAAGUUUUAAUUAAGUUGUUGAUUUGACAGCAUGCCUUAAAAGUAAUACCGUUGACUAACAUUGUUUUAUGGAACAAAUAAAUGGCCUAGUGUU